ensembl:lncRNA
GGUGAAUAAUGGAAAGAGUUUCAUUUAAAAAGAUAACAAAACUAGUACAUAAAUGGAGAGCUGAACUGGGGAAACAAAACUAAACCCAACUAUUCAAAACCCAGCAAACACUACGAAUACAGAAACGGAAAUCAACCAAUACUAAACUGGAUUAACAAAAGUAAACUAAGGAGGAGUACUCACAAGACGGAGAAAAAGGAGUCCAGAAGUGGGGAAGCAGAGUCCAUGAGGGAGCAGAGCGUGUGAAGCCAUGCGAGUCUUUGUGGGAAUCCAAGCCUGGAGAGAAGCAGGUGUCUAGUAGUUUAUGGUCAAACAGGCAAAGAGUCACUAAGCAGAGUUUAAAUAGUGAGCAGGUGAUAUUGAGGGCAGGUGAGCUGAUUACUGCAAUGUGAGUCACCUGCAGUAAUCAGCUGAGAGUGCAGACAGGUGAAGCAGGGAGAGCAAGAGACAGGAACGAGGAGAGAUGACAGACAGAGUCAAGUUGCUUCACCUGCCUGCACUCUAUUUGCUGAUUACUGUAAUGAGUGUCACCUGCAGUAAUUAGUUCACUCCAUUGACUGUUCUCUACCUCACCUCCAGUAUUUAAGCUCUGUGCUUCCAUUCACUCCUCGCCGGAUCAUCGGCUCACAUCUCUCCAUGGCUUCUGCUGCAUUCCUGGAUUGUGGGUUUCCCCACCAAGCCUUCUACUGCUUGUCAGCUUCAGCCUCUUGGACUCGACCGAUUUUGCUGUCCUGGAUUUCUCUCUUGUGGACUCUGUUCAACUCCUGUCUGUUUUUGGAUGCUCCCUGGUCUUCAGUCUGCCAAUUUUGUUUUUCCACUAGCUUCUGGGUUCUCCUAGCCUGCCUAGCCUUUAGCUCUGUUUUCCCAUGGUUGUUGUAAGUACAUUGCUGUGUUGUUUGGUUGAGGUUAUUCCUGUUUAGUUUUGUGGUUUUUGUAGGUUUGGUAGUGUAGUUUGUUUUAGUGUUGUGGUUUAGUUUGUCUGCUGGGGCUUCCGUUUCACGAAGCGGGUUCAACAAACUGUUUUUGGUUAAAUCAAGUCUGAGUAGUUUCCCCUGGAGUUAAGCACGUGCACCACAGCUCUGAAAAGCCAGUAUCAAUGGAGUGCCGAUUUGACGAGUCACCAUGGCAACGGGUAAGCAGAGGACGACACCGUUUGAAUUGGAAAUCUUAAUGCGCUUAUGUAGCGAGUUUGAACACGUUUUUAGAAAGAAGUGCAACACCGCUGCAGCUGCAAAUGAGAGGGAAACGGCGUGGGAGAGCCUUGCGGCCCGGGUCAAUGUGUAAAUUGAAACCACAAUAAUAUUGCAGGAGAAAAGUGUUUAAUGGUAAUCUGUUGUGUUAUUUCAUUUAGGUGCAAGAGGGAGACGGCCUGGGAGAGCAUUGCUGCCUGAGUCAAUGUGUGCAAUCCUGUGAGGGAGAAGUGCAUGUGGCAAACAGGUAAGAAGUAUUUAUCACUGGAUAGAGAAAUUCUGGCCAUUGCAUUACCUCCACUGUGUGUUUGUUGAGUCUUCUCCUCUACAGGCUGGGGACCUGGAACCUUUGACUGAAUUUUAAGUAACUAUACACUGGCUAUCUUUCUAUCUUUCUGUCUUUCUAUCUGUGGCACAGAUAGCUAGACAGCUAGCGGAGCUAACUAUGAUUGAUAAAGUUUUCUGCACAUCAUAUUUACUAACAAACACCAAAACCUGAACAAUAUAUACAAAUGCUAUGUGUUACAUUAAAUGUAUAAAUUGACUCACUUUGUGUGGCUAAUACCUUACAAAUAGUCUGUAAACCUUUAAUUGGUUUCAGAUGUGAACGUUUCACUAUACACUGCUAAAACUCUAUAUGCUAGUACAUUACCAAAGGAAGCAAUCAUUAUUAACACACAAAGAUGUGAUUUAAUAUUAUAUAUUUAUUUGUUGUCUUUAACCCACUUCUCAUAGGUUGGCCUAACAACAAAAUAAACCCUAUCCUUUCAUCAAGAUCUUGUUACUACAGAAAAGUACAACUUCAUCCUGUGACAUCCAUGUACAACUCCAUACUUUAAUUUCCUCUAUAUAUUUUCAGUUAUCACUAACACAAAUUGACAAACCACUUACUCAAAAUCAAUCACACACCACAAAUAAAUAUAUGCAAUACUUCAACCACCAUAUUACAAGGCCACAUCUACAAAUGUAAACAUUGCAACACAACUUAGACAUGGCUGCAUGUUCACACUUGAACUAUGUAAACUAUCGGAAAAACAAACUAAACUAGCUCUUUCAUUUGUAUGAAAUAAAGAAAAAGGAUGCACUAUGUGUCAUGCAAAAGUUAAGUUAUUCUUCUUGCUAUACUUCUGUUUUUCUGUCCCCCGACUGCUAUUGUUUUCUUUAAUGCAAUUCUGACAAUAAACUUUUGUACCUUUUGCAGAUGUGUCUGUGCUAUUGUUUUAUUUGUGAAGGUUAGCAAGACUACAUGACAAAUUAAACACCAAAACAUUAAAACAGCUGUUUUAAGAAUAUUCCAGUUUGAUUAAAUCAGUAUUGCAGGAGUUUGUGUUAAAACAUGUUAAAUCCCAUUAAACAUAAGUGCAUUAUUAGUGUGACAGGAGGUCGUCUCCCUCCUGGCCGCUGUUGGACGCCGUGCCAGCGGUGCGAGCACCGUAAUUGCUGGGCGGUACUAUGCGCCCUUUAUAUUAAGGUGUGCAGCGGUGGAGCUUCCUGUCCUCCGCUCCCUGCUUGCUUCCGUGGUGGCUGUGGUUUGGCAUGACGGCGUUGGUGGACGCAGCCGUUCUCUGGUGUAUCCAGCUGUUCUGAUUGCUGUCAAGGCAUGCUGUCUGAAUACCGUGGCUGAGUGCUGGGGUGAAUUCCCCGGGGUGAAGCGGGGAUCUGCUGGAGCCCUGCUGGGCAUAGGAUCACAGGCUCGCUCUGGGUGUGUGUGGGU